AGGACGAACGCUGGCGGCGUGCUUAACACAUGCAAGUCGAGCGGUAAGGCUCCUUCGGGAGUACACGAGCGGCGAACGGGUGAGUAACACGUGAGCAAUCUGCCCUUCACACGGGGAUAACUCCGGGAAACCGGUGCUAAUACCCGAUACGACCACCGCAGGCAUCUGUUGGUGGUGGAAAGUUCCGGCGGUGAAGGAUGAGCUCGCGGCCUAUCAGCUUGUUGGUGGGGUAACGGCCCACCAAGGCAACGACGGGUAGCCGGCCUGAGAGGGUGACCGGCCACACUGGGACUGAGACACGGCCCAGACUCCUACGGGAGGCAGCAGUGGGGAAUAUUGGACAAUGGGCGAAAGCCUGAUCCAGCAACGCCGCGUGAGGGAUGACGGCCUCGGGUUGUAAACCUCUUUCACCCAGGACGAAGCGCAAGUGACGGUACUGGGAGAAGAAGCACCGGCCAACUACGUGCCAGCAGCCGC
rnacentral:rRNA from 1 species